GUCAUGUCUCAUUGAAACACCAGUUCCCGUAUGAUCACUAAAGUUGCGCAAUAUUGAGCCUGGUUAGUACUUAGAUGAGUGAUCACGUGAAUACCAUGUGCUGUAUG